GGCUGUGUGGUCUAGUGGUAUGAUUCUCGCUUAGGGCGAGGGGUCCCGAGUUCAAUUCUCGGCACAGCCC
rnacentral:tRNA from 1 species